CAUUUACCACCUUUUAAGAUGACACGUUUUAUUUAGUUAUAUUUAAAUAAAAAUCACUUGAGUCUAGGAAGAGCCAAAUCUAAAGCCACAUGAUAAAAAUACACAACUAUCCCUUUGAAAGUUAUAUUCGGAGCCCCAGGUAUAAGCACACAAACUGGAAAUCUUUGCUGUCGUCCUUUAUAUUAUUGUCCUAAUGGAGACACAAAUACCCGUGG